GAUGACAUUAGGGACUGAAAUGCUGAAU
rnacentral:piRNA from 1 species